UGAAGCCGGAAUUGCUAGUAAUGGCAGGUCAGCAUACUGCCGUGAAUACGUUCCCGGGCCUUGUACACACCGCCCGUCACACCAUGAGAGUUGGGGAUACCCGAAGCCUGUGAGCCAACUGUAAAGAGGCAGCAGUCGAAGGUAGAAUCAAUGAUUGGGUGAAGUCGUAACAAGGUACC
rnacentral:rRNA from 1 species